AUCCAGCUGUAGAGUACCAAAUAGGACGAAACGCACGUCUUGGAU
rnacentral:hammerhead_ribozyme from 1 species